UUAGAUACCCUUGUAGUCCACGCCGUAAACGAUGAGUGCUAGGUGUUAAGGGGUUUCCGCCCCUUAGUGCUGGAGUUAACGCAUUAAGCACUCCGCCUGGGGAGUACGGCCGCAAGGCUGAAACUCAAAAGAAUUGACGGGGACCCGCACAAGCGGUGGAGCAUGUGGUUUAAUUCGAAGCAACGCGAAGAACCUUACCAGGUCUUGACAUCCCACUGACCGCUAUGGAGACAUAGCUUUCCCUUCGGGGACAGUGGUGACAGGUGGUGCAUGGUUGUCGUCAGCUCGUGUCGUGAGAUGUUGGGUUAAGUCCCGCAACGAGCGCAACCCUUGAGAUUAGUUGCCAGCACUAAGUUGGGCACUCUAAUCUGACUGCCGGUGACAAACCGGAGGAAGGUGGGGAUGACGUCAAAUCAUCAUGCCCCUUAUGACCUGGGCUACACACGUGCUACAAUGGAUGGAACAAAGGGGAGCAAAACCGCGAGGUCAAGCAAAUCCCAUAAAACCAUUCUCAGUUCGGAUUGCAGGCUGCAACUCGCCUGCAUGAAGCCGGAAUCGCUAGUAAUCGUGGAUCAGCAUGCCACGGUGAAUACGUUCCCGGGUCUUGUACACACCGCCCGUCACACCACGAGAGUCGGUAACACCCGAAGUCAGUGAGGUAACCAUUUGGAGCCAGCCGCCGAAGGUGGGACCAAUGAUUGGGGUG
rnacentral:rRNA from 1 species